GACGAACGCUGGCGGCGUGCUUAACACAUGCAAGUCGAGCGGAAAGGCCACUUCGGUGGUACUCGAGCGGCGAACGGGUGAGUAACACGUGAGUAAUCUGCCCCUCACUUUGGGAUAGCCACCGGAAACGGUGAUUAAUACCGGAUAUGACCAUAUGUCGCAUGGCGUGUGGUGGAAAGUUUUUCGGUGAGGGAUGUGCUCGCGGCCUAUCAGCUUGAUGGUGAGGUAAUGGCUCACCAUGGCUUCGACGGGUAGCCGGCCUGAGAGGGUGACCGGUCACACUGGGACUGAGACACGGCCCAGACUCCUACUGGAGGCAGCAGUGGGGAAUAUUGGACAAUGGGCGGAAGCCUGAUCCAGCAACGCCGCGUGAGGGAUGACGGCCUUCGGGUUGUAAACCUCUUUCAGUACCGACGAAGCGCAAGUGACGGUAGGUACAGAAGAAGCACCGGCCAACUACGUG
rnacentral:rRNA from 1 species